AAACAAGAGUGUUCAUUUUGCUUCAUAUGCAUCCUUAAGCAUGCACAAGGAGUGUUAUUUGUUUUGUAUAAUGUAUUGCUAGCAAACAUCCCAGCCUACAUAAAAUAUUCCUUUGGAAAAUCUUGCAAUAAAAAUAUUCCUAACUCUUUUGUUUCAGCAGGAAUACAGAGACAGAGCUCAUAAAAGUGGAGGCAAGAGAGCAGUACCUUUGGAGUUGGAUUCUUUGAGGCAGAUUGAAUAAAUGCUCAGAAGUGAGACAGAAAGAAACCAAAGGGAAUGUAUCCCUUUCUAAACUUUUUCAAAUGGCUUCACAGUGAUGGAAAGGGCCCUGCUUGGUCACUACCUUGGCUCCCACCAGCUAAUGAAACUGCAAAGCAGAAGCAGCUAUUGGCAUGAAAGAUUACAGACCAGCUACUAUAAUUCCAGCUACUGUAACAGAAGCUUCCAGUAAGAAAUGGACUCUAGAAGUUCAAAUGGGUGUAAGUGACCAGACAUGUUCAUCUGCAACAUCCAUAUUAAGAGAGGCUUCAAGAGAGUAGAAGCACUUUUUCCAGGAGUGACCUAGUAUUCUUCAAGUGUUCUGGAACGAACUGAAUUGAUCUUUCUGUAAACAGAUGUAUGAAAAAUAAAACCAGAAUGUUUUUGCCA